rnacentral:rRNA from 1 species
UAAUACGUAGGUGGCUAGCGUUGUCCGGAUUUACUGGGCGUAAAGCGCGCGCAGGCGGUCGUUCAAGUCGAGUGUGAAAGCCCCCGGCUCAACUGGGGAGGGUCACUCGAUACUGAUCGACUUGAAGGCAGAAGAGGGAAGCGGAAUUCCCGGUGUAGUGGUGAAAUGCGUAGAUAUCGGGAGGAACACCAGUGGCGAAGGCG